CAGCGGUCAUGGAGAGUCUCCAUCCAGCUGGAUCACUGUCACAGACAAACACACCACCUCACCUCCACCUACAUCCACACCUCCAACUACAUCAGCCUCUAUUACUACAAACACUCCUGCUUAUUCCUCGUUCCUUCUCUGUGUGUUAUUUCCUGUUGGAGCAGUCUGUGUUUUGGUUCUACUGGUGUUACUGGUUCUGAGACAACAUUUUCAGAGGAAACUUGAAGGCUGUGAUCCAGCUACGGUCUAUUUAUCAGUGAGAGCAGACAACAUCAGUUGUCGACCAACAGACAUCAGAACAAACAGGUCCAGAGAGUGCGAUCCAGCUACAAUCUACUCAUCAGUGAGAAGAGACAAGAUCACUCAUGGACAAACAGACAUCAGACCAAACAGGCGCAGAGAGUUUCCAUCUGACCAAAAUGGCAUCUACCCAUGAAGUAAUCCACCAGUCCAACCACUGGAAUCCUGUUGCUGGUCCACACAGGCGCUCAGACUAGAUUUUUAUAUAUUCUGUUUGAUCUUCUCAUUAAACAUAUUCACAUAACACAUAUUAUAACAAAUAUUUGAAUGUAAUGUAAUGCAGUGUAUGGAAAACAAUCAGUACCUGGCAGGACGGUGCUGCCCUCCCCACAGCAGUGAUCUCUGCAGAUCUCUGUAAGAAACUUUGGUCUCACUUGUUCUUCUUGUGCGGUUCUCUGGAUUUCACAAAUAUUAAUGAAGAAAAAUGUGAGUCGUUGUGGCUGAUUAAGAUCUGAAUAAAACCAUAACCACAGAUUAAAAGCAGCAUGAGCAUCACUGGAAACUUUUAAAACUUAAAGAGUUUUAAAAGAUCUCAGUUCAUAUGGUCCAGCCGAGCUUUAAAAGAAAAGUUAAAAACAAUAAGAGUUUAAAAACUAAACGGCACAGAAUUAAGACAUGUAGGGUAGGGUGAACAAGUGGGUCUUCAACUUAGCUUUAAAAACCUCCACAGAGCAUGCCUGCCUAAUAUCUUGAGGGAUGUUGUUCCACAAAAAUGAGGCACGAAAAGAAAAAGCACUUUAUCCAAUAGUCUUUUUUCUGACUUUAGAAACACUGUGUUGAAUAAAAGCUUUGAGUUAUGCUUAUGAUGAGAUUUGAGAAAUAAUUUGCUUUGUCUGUAGGGGCCACCGUAGGGUCCAGCAAAUCAGAUUAAAUAUGUACACACACUCAUGUUUAUGUCAGUGUGUCAUCGAAAGUAUAAAAUAUAAACGUGCAUUUCUGAAACAAACUCUGUCCUGAAUUUUCUCACGUUAAAGAAUGACUCAAGCAAACAUGUAUCUUUAUACGUUUGUUUGAGUAUAAAUAGUGUAAAGGGUGACGUAUAUUUGUGAAACUUCAUGUGUUAUUAGCCUUCAUCUAUGUGGCCAAACUUAUUCAGACCCUGUAACAGAACAGAUCAGACGGGAGGCUGCAGACGGAGCUGUAAUCAAAGGUGUGUGAGGCAAAGUGAUGUGUAUCUGAGCUGAAGGCUGAUCAGUUAGUGUGACCACUGUGGGAUGUCAAGAUGCUCUCAAGGUGAUGAUUAGCUUUUAUUUCAGGCAUAUGAAACAAACCAACAUACACAAAUACCUGCAUAUACAGCACCAUGAAAAAGUAUCCAUACCCCUUGAACUUUUACACAUUUUGUCGCCUU